rnacentral:tRNA from 1 species
GAGAAUUUAGUUAACCUAUAACACUACCUUGUCAAGGUAGAAUGAUGGGCUAAAACCCCCAUACUUCUCU